rnacentral:misc_RNA from 1 species
GAAAUGCGAUAAGUAGUGUGAAUUGCAGAAUUCAGUGAAUCAUCGAAUCUUUGAACGCACAUUGCGCCCCUUGGUAUUCCAUGGGGCAUGCCUGUUCGAGCGUCAUUUGUACCCUCAAGCUCUGCUUGGUGUUGGGUGUCUGUCCCCGUCUCCGCGCGUGGACUCGCCCCAAAGUGAUUGGCAGCCGGCGUACUGGUCCCGGAGCGCAGCACAUGUCGCGCAAACGAGUGCCUUGGUACGGCGGCGUCCAUAAGCCCCUCUCUCACGCUCUUGACCUCGGAUCAGGUAGGGAUACCCGCUGAACUUAAGC